rnacentral:lncRNA from 1 species
AGCUCUUGCUCUUGCUCCUUCGCCUGCUUGCUGCGUGAGACUGAGUAACUGCUAGAUCCUUGGACUUUCAUUCACAGCUGCGACUGAACAAUUGUUGGGAAUUGGGCUGCAGACUCCUGACUCCCCGCGGGACUUCCAAGGCAGCAUAACUUCGGGUCCAGACUGGGCUGUCAGGCUUUUCCAGGAAGGAUCCAGGAACCCCUUAACUAAUCCAGGCAGUGACCUGGGAGAACUCGGGAGAACCCGUGGCAGCCCCCAGCAUCCAGGAUGUUCACUCUGACCAAAGCCUUAGAAAAGGCUCUUCUCCAGCAUUUCAUAUAAAUGAAGGUGAACAUCGCCUAUGCCAUCAACAAGCCAUUCCCCUUCUUCGAAGCGCUCCGGGACAAAUCCUUCAUCACUGAGAGAAUGUACAAGCUUCUGGUGGCUGGAAGCUCUUGGAGUUCUUAGAUUAAUAGUCUGCACUGCACUCACUGCACUGACCCCAACUCCCUGACUCAGCUCCACUGCACUGCACUCAACUGACUGACUGAACUCAGAGACCUGAAUGACUCUGUCUCCUGAGUGCUAGGAAUAAAGCAAGUACUGCCAAGCCUGGACCUAAGCUUUUCUUUACAAGCAACUUUCUCUGUCCCAAGCUGGCCUUCAACUCAGAGAUCUGCUUGCCUCUGACUCUUGGGAUUAGAGGUGUGUCUGUAUUCCAGCCAGAUCACACAGACCUAGAAGGUCUUUGGAUAUGAUGAUCACUUGCCAAAGCAGCCCUGUUGCUGGAUUAAAAUUCCUCUACAAAGAAAAUUGCAGCAGCCUUUUCCAAGUCUGACACAGCUCCAGCUCCUUCAUCAGUCCACAGCCCACUCACUCACUGAGACUCACGUUUUCCUUCCAACAACCGUGCUUUCCUUUAUGAGACUGUUCUCAGUUGCAACUGGCUAUUUACUGACUGUCUUUUCAGGGAUGGAUGCCCUCCUCCUCCACUGGAGCAGGACCCCACCUGGGCAGUACUCCCACCUGGGCAGGGCCCCACCUGGGCAAGGUCCCACCUGGACAGCAACACCGCCUGAACAGGGCUCCACCUGGGGAGGGUAUCACCUGCCCCAUCACCGGAUCCAUCUGGGCACCCAAGGACUAGCUAACCAGGAAUAGCAGACACUGGAAGAAUUUUGCAGCCAGUUCUCUCUUUCAAUGACUUCUAUCCUAAAGAUUUAACUCUAUAUUUUAUACUAAAAUUCCUCUUAAAUUAAAAAAGAAGAUUUCUUAAAUUUGGGGGUUUUGUUCUGUUCUGUUUGAGACAAGAUUUCUCUGUGCAGCCCUGGCUGUCCUGGAACUCACUUUGUAGAUCAGGAUGCCCUCAACUAGAAAACAUUAGCAAUCUGACUGCCUGUCUCCUGAAUGUUGGAAUUAAAGGCGUGUGUCACCAAGCCUGACUUUUAUAUAUUUUUUAAGUACUGUAUUUAUUUGGGAGCGAGGUGCGCAUGUGCCAUGGUGUGCAGGUGGAGGCUGAAUGACACCCUGUAGAAUCUGUGCUCUCCUUCCACCCUCCAGAUCACAGGGAUCAGACUCAGAUCAAGCUUGACGGCCAAUGCCUGCACCCACUUAGCCAUCCUCAGCAGCCCCCAAAGUAGCUUUCUUACAAUAUAGAAAACCACAGAUAGAGAGCUCUCCGCUCGGUGACUACUCAUUCAAACUAACUCUCUGCUCCACUCUUUGAAGGAAUCUCUGGAAGCCUGUCAAAAUCUGGUCCCUCUGUCCAAAGUGGUGCACAAUAUUCUCACCAGUCUGGAGCAGACUUUCCACCCGUCAGUGCUGCUGACGUUGUUCAGCAAGGUCAACCUCCGGGAAUACCCCAGCCUGGUGGCAAUUUUCAGAAGCUUCAGAAACGGUAAUGUGGUUUCUCCGAUCCUUGUCACAUGUGCAGUGGUGCUACAGUAAAAGCCUGGGUUUGUUUCCAGUGUGGAUUGUGCAUUCCAAUGCCUGCUUUCCCUGUGUAAAGGCAUAGACCACGCUUGCUCACAAAAGCUGCUGGAAGCAUCAUCCUGGCUGACUCUGACCUCAGCUUCCACGAUUCGAAUUUCUAUAGGACACAGGUGUUUUUAAUACAGCUAUUCAGUGAACCAGGUGUAAGUUGUGACAGAGUCUCACGUUGUAGUACAGAAUGGCCUAAAAUGUAAUCCUUCUGCCUCAGCCUUCUUUCCAAGUGCUGGUGUUACAGAAGUGGGCCAUCACACACACUCAUCUUGAAAAUAUGAAGUAUGGGACCAUCUCCAGGGAGCACGUAGGGCAACUGAAAUGUCGGGACUUGCUAUGAAAGAAAGAAAGAUGGGGGGUGGGGAAGAGAGAGAGAAGGAGGAGGAGAGGAAGAAGAAGGAGAAGAGGAGAAGGAGGAGGAGGAGAGGUGAAAUGGAUACAAUGUCUAUCUCUUUGUGACUGUGGGUGUCCCAGACAUUUUAUAUGAUCAUUUCACAUGACCUUAAAACCACCUGUGACAUCAUUGUAAGUUGCUCCUGACAGAGAAGGAAGGGGAAGUUCAGAGGUAACUCCACAGUCACUUGUCAGAUUUCUAUCUGUCACAAAAUGCCUAUGAUAAUGAAUUUACAAUGAGAAGAAGUUAGGGGGCUCUGACCUGUGAUACAGUUUGAGCCUGUAGCAAGAUUGUAUCACCGCAGGAUAUGUGACAAAAUAAAAUUGUUCACCGUGUGUUC